UUAAGGGAAACUGUGCGGUGCGCUUUGC
rnacentral:sRNA from 1 species